rnacentral:misc_RNA from 1 species
GCCAGUUUUUUUUUCACUCCUCUCUCCCACAGCAGCCGCCGCCACCUUCCUCUGCUCUCCCCUGCUUCCACUGCGCCGCCGGCUGCCUCCUCUGCGCGGGCCGCCUGGGCUGGGCACCUGUGCUGCCCUCCUGCACCGCCGGCCGUGCGGCCCUGCUCCACUCGCGCCGGCCGCCGCCGACCCUGCCCCCAUCUGCUCCGGCCGCCGCCGCCUCCUCUGCUCCACCCGCCGCCACCUCCUCUCUCUCCCACCGGCUCUCUCUCUCCUGCUCUCUUUCUCGCAGCAGCCCCGCGCCAGGACGCCGCCGUGGACCGCGCCCUGCUCAU